rnacentral:antisense_RNA from 1 species
UGUGUUAAAUUAUAUAAGCUAUUGUUUUUACUUAUAUUUUAUCUAUUUUUAUCUGAAAAUUGGGGAAUAGAGAAAAAUAGAGAUGGUGCGACUAGCUGGACUCGAACCAGUGACCCCCACCA